GACGAACGCUGGCGGCGUGCUUAACACAUGCAAGUCGAACGGAAAGGCCCUGCUUGCAGGGUACUCGAGUGGCGAACGGGUGAGUAACACGUGGGUGAUCUGCCCUGCACUUCGGGAUAAGCCUGGGAAACUGUGUCUAUUACCGGAUAGGAGCCAUUUUUCGUGUGAUGGUUGGAAAGUUUUUUCGGUGUAGGAUGAGCUCGCGGCCUAUCAGCUUGUUGGUGGGGUAAUGGCCUACCAAGGCGGCGACGGGUAGCCGGCCUGGGAGGGUGGACGGCCACAUUGGGACUGGGAUACGGCCCAGACUCCUACGGGAGGCAGCAGUGGGGAAUAUUGCACAAUGGGCGCAAGCCUGAUGCAGCGACGCCGCGUGGGGGAUGACGGGCUUCGGGUUGUAAACUCCUUUCGCUAGGGACGAAGCUUUUUGUGACGGUACCUAGAUAAGAAGCACCGGCUAACUACGUG
rnacentral:rRNA from 1 species